GACGAACGCUGGCGGCGUGCUUAACACAUGCAAGUCGAGCGAUGAAGCACCUUCGGGUGUGAAUUAGCGGCGAACGGGUGAGGAACACGUGAAGAAUCUGCCUUCAACUCUGGGAUAACUCCGGGAAACCGGGGCUAAUACCGGAUAUGAGCCUUGAUCGCAUGAUCGGGGCUGGAAAGUUUUUCGGUUGAAGAUGACUUCGCGGCCUAUGAGCUUGUUGGUGAGGUAAUGGCUCACCAAGGCGACGACGGGUAGCCGGCCUGAGAGGGCGACCGGCCACACUGGGACUGAGACACGGCCCAGACUCCUACGGGAGGCAGCAGUGGGGAAUAUUGGGCAAUGGAGGAAACUCUGACCCAGCGACGCCGCGUGAGGGAUGAAGGCCUUCGGGUUGUAAACCUCUUUCAGUAGGGAAGAAGCGAAAGUGACGGUACCUACAGAAGAAGCACCGGCUAACUAUGUGCCAGCAGCCGCCGUAA
rnacentral:rRNA from 1 species